rnacentral:rRNA from 1 species
CCUACGGGUGGCAGCAGUGAGGAAUAUUGGUCAAUGGGCGCGAGCCUGAACCAGCCAAGUAGCGUGAAGGAUGACGGCCCUACGGGUUGUAAACUUCUUUUAUAAAGGAAUAAAGUGAGGCACGUGUGCCUUGUUGUAUGUACUUUAUGAAUAAGGAUCGGCUAACUCCGUGCCAGCAGCCGCGGUAAUACGGAGGAUCCGAGCGUUAUCCGGAUUUAGUGGGUGUAAAGGGAGCGUAGAGGGGUUGUGAAGUCAGUUGUGAAAGUUUGCGGCUCAACCGUAAAAGGGCAAUUGAUACUGGCAUCCUUGAGUACAGUUGCGGUAGGCGGCCUUCGUGGUGUAGCUGUGCAAUGCUUAGCUAUCAC